rnacentral:rRNA from 1 species
UACAGAGGGAGCAAGCGUUAUUCGAAAUUAUUGGGCGUAAAGCGCGAGCAGGCGGUAAGGCAAGUCCUGUGUGAAAGCCUCGGGCUCAACCCGAGAGGGUCAUGGGAAACUGCCUUGCUAGAGUGCAAGAGAGGAGAGUGGAAUUCCCAGUGUAGUGGUGAAAUACGUAGAUAUUGGGAGGAACACCAGCGGCGAAAGCGGCUCUCUGGCUUGUUACUGACGCUCAUUCGCGAAGGCGUGGGGAGUAAACAGG